GUGGGGAAUAUUGGACAAUGGGCGCAAGCCUGAUCCAGCCAUGCCGCGUGUGUGAAGAAGGCCUUCGGGUUGUAAAGCACUUUUGUUGGGAAAGAAAUCCUGUCGGCUAAUACCCGGCGGGGAUGACGGUACCCAAAGAAUAAGCACCGGCUAACUUCGUGCCAGCAGCCGCGGUAAUACGAAGGGUGCAAGCGUUACUCGGAAUUACUGGGCGUAAAGCGUGCGUAGGUGGUUCGUUAAGUCAGAUGUGAAAGCACCGGGCUCAACCUGGGAAUUGCAUUUGAGACUGGCGGACUAGAGUGCGGUAGAGGAGAGUGGAAUUCCCGGUGUAGCAGUGAAAUGCGUAGAGAUCGGGAGGAACAUCAGUUGCGAAGGCGGCUCUCUGGACCAGCACUGACACUGAGGCACGAAAGCGUGGGGAGCAAACAGGAUUAGAUACCCCAGUAGUCC
rnacentral:rRNA from 1 species